CGGCCGCCGGCGCGGGAGUCGGGCGGGAGGGUGAGACCCAAGGGUGCAGUAGUCCACGGUGUGGAGGUAGUGGUCCUGAAGGCAGUGGGGCGGGAAGAGAGGAAGCGGCUAGGAGACGGCUGCUCCGGCCUGGGCUCCGGGGAGGAAACGUAAGUGCGAGGAAGUUAGAAGGGUGGUCCCUUGCCAGGCGCUUGGCCCUCGCCUGUCCUCGCCAGCCCUCCCCUGCCAACCCCAGCCCCGCCCCGACCGGUCGGGGGCACCCUCCCUCUGUUCACUUUGGUCGGCGCCCGGGCUUGUUGGCGGAUACCAAGGAGACCCCUAAGCUUUCCAAGCUGCGCUCUGAAGCGGGCUGUGAGCGCCAGGCCCGCCAGUGAGGGCGGUGGACCGACGGCCCCGACCCUCGGAGGGGGCGUCGCGCGCUGGCGGAGGGCAGCUCCCUCUGGAAGCCAGCGUGGGCCCGGCGCCCGGGAAGGAGCGAGUGGACGGGGCCGCGUUCUUGGCCGCCUUCCCAGCCUGGGUGCUCGAAUUCAGCUUUUGGCACGAUUGCCUCGAGUUAGUCACGAAGGGAUCGAAGAGAGCCCCAGAACUCGAGGAUUUUCCCUUCCCGUGAGCCCCUUGAGGCCAGUACAUGAUUCUUUCGCAGAAUAAUUUCGGAACUCAGUCUGCGGUAGGCCUCAUCUCUAGCCUUGUCCUCAAGGAGCGCACAAUCGAGUAGCAAAGAUAGACAUGUAAACAAAAUUUCGACGCAGUGUGAUGACUGCAACAAAAAGAAGCAUUAUGAGGUUAAAUGUAAAAAGUGCAUUUCCGGUGGAAGGAAUGCUUGUUGUCCCAGACCUGACUGGCACAAUCGGAGAUAAGCUGAAUAGGACUUUAGAAUUUGGUGACUGAUGACAGCACCCUGAAGGGAAGACCACAAACUCCUGAUGAAGUGAUGAUUUUCCAGGCCACCUUACUUCCUUCUGCCUACCCUUGAGGUCCAGUUGUCCAGCUCUUCUUUAAAUGUCAUGAGUAAUCUUUAUACCCAAUGUGGGACCCUAACUCACAACCCCGAGAUGAAGAAUCGCAUGCUCUACCAACUGAGGAAGCCCAGUGCCCCAAUUCCUUGCUGUUUUAAUGAGACUACUUAGUAUCUUUUGGUCUGUCAUCUGCUGGGUCCUCAGGAACCUAGAUACAGUAUGGAAGAAGAAGACAGAGAUACAGAGGAAGUUAAAAUAAAAUCCCUGGAAUUCGGACUAUGGUCAAUAAACCUCCCCAAAAAGCAACCAUUCAGUUGGACAAAAUAACAAAAACCACCAUUUCAGUACUCUAGAAAUCAACCACAGGCAUAUAACAAUCUGAGAAUGCUUAUAAAACUGCUCAACUUUGGGUAAGAACAUUAGGAGUCUGUGUCAGUCUGGGGCUGCUCUACUCCUGUAUCCUCCACCUGCAAGCUCAGAUGGUUUGUCAGGCUGAGAGGACUGCCAAAUUUGAGGUCACAAUAAAAAGAGACUCACAUGAUUUAAAGCAGUCGGGCAAUGACUACACUGAGUGGUCAUCGGUAUAAGUGACAAUUUUGGUAUAAGUAAUAAUUUCUAUGGCAGGCAAACUAGGAGGGCCAACAGCUCUAAUAGCCUGAAGUUGCAGGGUGUUGGGACAUUCACAUUCCUGGCUAAGGCAAUACACAUGCACAGCAGAGACUAAGGAGGGCCCCAGCUAUCCACAUACUGAAUCUUGCAUAUCAGAAUUUCUUUUUAAUUUUUAAAAUGUUUGUUAAUUGAAAGUAAAAAAUGACAUUAAAUUGUCAUAAUGACUGGUUAAAUUAAAUGUUUUAAUUAUAUUUAUACGCUACCUCUGGUUCCCAUUUCAUUAAAUACUUAUGUAUGCCCUUUCCUCAUUUUUUUUCCUAAGGAUCAAAAUACUAAAGUUGAAAAAGACUUUAGUUCAACUUCCCCAACCAAAGCAGUAAUCUUUCAGGUAGUCUUCCUGUCUAAAGGUAACCUAUGGGCACCUGGGUGGCUCAGUGGUUAAGCAUCUGCCUUCAGCUCAGGUCAUGAUCCCAGGGUCCUGGGAUCGAGCCCCGCACUGGGCUCCCUGACUCUGCAGGAAGCCUGCUUCUCCCUCUCCCACUCCCCCUGCUUGUGUUCCCUCUCUCACUGUGUCUCUCUGUCAAAUAAAUGAAAUCUUUAAAAAAAUAAUAAUAAUAAAGGUAACCUAGAAUGUGCUCAAAUGCUUAAGGAGACAUGAAGUUCACUACUUCCCAAUGCAAAUAUUUCAAAAUGUUAAAUGAGUUCUAACCAAAAAAACUUUUAAAGUGAACUGAAUAAAACCUGCAAUACACCAUUAAUUCCCUUAUUUAAUAAAGAAGAAUUUCUAGGGGCACCCAGGUGGCUCAGUCAGUUAUGCAUCCGACUCUUGAUCUCAGCUCAGGUCUUGAUUUCAGGGUCAUGAGUUCAAGCCCCGCACUGGGCUCCAUACUGGGCCCAGAGUCUACUUAAAAAACAAAUAAAGAAAAUAAAGAAAAAAUUUCUAAGAAGAAUUUAACUCCAGGAACUUGGUUAAGCAUAAUUUGACUUGUUUUAAACCCAAAGCUUGAAAAUUUUUUUCAUUUUAAUACUUAAAAACAAAUAUUUUUUUUAGUUUGCCAACUAUGGCUUAAUUUAGAGGAAGAUAUUUGCAUUAUUUGCCCCAACUCCUCAAAAUAGUGGAACUGUAUUUAACACUUCAAAAAUACUUUGUAUAUCCCAGGAUCUCAAUAAAUAUUUGCUAAUUUAAUCUCUUGGCAUUUCUUGCAAAUUACUAAAAUCCUAAAAUAAAGGCUCAAAUGUCCAUGCUUACCUGAAUACUCAAACAUAAUCCAAACAAGCACACUACCAAAGCA